CCCUUAGAUGUUCUGGGCUGCACGCGCGCUACACUGAUGCGCUCAACGAGUUUUAACCUUGCCUGGAAAGGUUGGGUAAUCUUUUUAAAACGCAUCGUGAUGGGGAUAGAUUAUUGCAAUUAUUAAUCUUCAACGAGGAAUUCCUAGUAAGCGCGAGUCAUCAGCUCGUGCUGAUUACGUCCCUGCCCUUUGUACACACCGCCCGUCGCUCCUACCGAUUGAAUGUUCCGGUGAGCUCUUCGGACUGCGCGGUCUGCAGUUUCUGCGUUCCGUGCGGAAAGUUGCGCAAACCUUAACAUUUAGAGGAAGGAGAAGUCAUAACA
rnacentral:rRNA from 1 species